CUUAAAUGAAUUGACGGGACCCGCACAAGCAGCGGAGCGUGUGGUUUAAUUCGUUGCUACACGAAGAACCUUACCUGGGUUUGACAUAUAGGUUGUAGGGAACUGAAAAGGGACCGACCUUCGGGAGCCUAUACAGGUGUUGCAUGGCUGUCGUCAGCUCGUGUCGUGAGAUGUUCGGUUAAGUCCGCUAACGAGCGCAACCCUCGUCGUAUGUUAUAUGUGUCAUACGAGACUGCCGGUAAAAGCCGGAGGAAGGUGAGGAUGAUGUCAAGUCAGCAUGACCUUUAUAUCCAGGGCUACACACACGCUACAAUGGUCUGUACAAUGGGUAGCCAAGCCGCGAGGCGGAGCCAAUCCUGAAAGCAGGCCUCAGUUCAGAUUGCAGUCUGCAACUCGACUGCAUGAAGCCGGAGUUGCUAGUAACCGCAGGUCAGCAAUACUGCGGUGAAUACGUUCCCGGGGCUU
rnacentral:rRNA from 1 species